rnacentral:tRNA from 1 species
GGGGAUAUAGCUCAGUUGGUAAAGUGCUUGCUUCUCAUGGAGAAGGACCUGGGUUCAAUCCCCGGCAUUACCA